UACAGAGGUCUCAAGCGUUGUUCGGAUUCAUUGGGCGUAAAGGGUGCGUAGGCGGCGCGGUAAGUCGGGUGUGAAAUCUCGGAGCUUAACUCCGGAAACUGCAUUCGAUACUGCCGUGCUUGAGGACUGGAGAGGAGACUGGAAUUUACGGUGUAGCGGUGAAAUGCGUAGAUAUCGUAAGGAACACCAGUGGCGAAGGCGGCUACCUGGAUUGACACUGACACUGAGGCGCGAGAGCGUGGGGAGCAAACAGG
rnacentral:rRNA from 1 species